rnacentral:sRNA from 1 species
AAACAAAAGAAGAAACUGGCAGAAAUAUUGGAAUAAA